rnacentral:lncRNA from 1 species
GGCAUCAUAAUAGUUUUAAAAUUUAGGCUCAAAUAUCAUAUAUGAGACACAAUUCAUAGAAUAGAAUUGCACUCAAGAUCAUAAAAUCAUUAAGGCAUCCCAACACUUCCAACAAAUAAUAUCCGUCAAUUCCUUUCGGGUCAUCGAGGCAUCAUAAUAGUUUCAAAAUUUAGACUCAUAUCAUAUCUGAGUGACAAUUCAUAGUAUAGAAUUGCACUCAAGAUCAAAAAAUCAUUGAGGCAUCCAACACUUGCAACAUAUCGAACAAAUAAUAUCCGUCAAUUCCUUUCGGGUCAUCCAGCAAUCAUAAUAGUUUCAAAAUCACCCAGGCAUCAUAAUAGUUUCAAAAUUUAGGCUUAUAUAUCAUACAUGAGUGACAAUUCAUAGUAUAGAAUUGCAUUCAAGAUCAUAAAAUCAUUGAGGCAUCCCAACACUUGCAACAUAUGGGACAAAUAAUAUCCGUGAAUUCCUUUCGGGUCAUCGAGGCAUCAUAAUAGUUUCAAAAUUUAGGCUCAUAUAUGAUAUAUGAGUCACAAUUCAUAUUAUAGAAUUGCAUUCAAGAUCAUAAAAUCACCAAGGCACACCAACACUUGCAACAUAUGGGACAAAUAAUAUCCGGCAAUUCCUUUCAGUUCAUCGAGGCAUCAUAAUAGUUUCGAAAUCAUCAAGGCAUCAUAAUAGUUUCAAAAUUUAGGCUUAUAUAUCAAACAUGAGUGACAAUUCAUAGUAUAGAAUUGCACUCAAGAUCAUUAAAUCAUUAAGGCAUCCCAACACCUGCAACAUAUUGGACAAAUAAUAUCCGUGAAUUCCUUUCGGGUCAUCGAGACAUCAUAAUAGUUUCAAAAUUUGAGCUAGUUUAGAAUUUUACUCGAGAUCAUAAAAUCACAUAGGCAUCUCAAAACUUGCAACAUAUGGGACAAAUUAGAACCGUCAAUUCCUUUCGGGUCAUCAAAGCAUCAUAAUAGUUUCAAAUUUGGGCGCAUAUAUCAUAUGAGUAACAAUUCAUAGUCUAGAAUUGCACUCAAGAUCAUAAAAUCACAUAGGCAUCUCAAAACUUGCAACAUACGGAACAAAUAAUAUCCGUCAAUUCAUUUCGGGUCAUCGAGACAUCAUAAUAGUUUCAAAAUUAAUGCUCAUAUAUAUCUCAUAUUUGAGUAACAAUUCAUAGUCUAGAAUUUCACUCAAGAUUAUAAAAUCAUAGAGGCAUCCCAACACUUGCAACAUAUAGAACAAAUAAUAACCGUCAAUUCCUUUCGGGUCAUCGAGGCAUCAUAAUAGUUUCAAAAUUUAGGCUCAUAUGUCAUAUAUGAGUGAGUCACAAUUAUUAGUAUAGUAUUGCAUUCAAGAUCAUAAAAUCAUUGAGGCAUCCCAACACUUGCAAAAAUGGGACAAAUAAUAUCCGUCAAUUCCUUUCGGUUCAUCGAGGCAUCAUAAUAGUUUCAAAAUUUAGGCUUAUAUAUCAUAUAUGAGUGACAAUUCAUAGUAUAGAAUUGCACUCAAGAUCAUAAAAUCAUUAAGGCAUCCCAACACUUGCAAAAAUGGGACAAAUAAUAUCCGUCAAUUCUUUUCGGGUUAUCGAGGCAUCAUAAUAGUUUCAAAAUUUAGGCUCAUAUAUCAUAUAUGAGUGACAAUUCAUAGUAUAAAAUUGCACUCAAGAUCAUAAAAUCAUUGAGGCAUCCGAACACUUGCAACAUAUGGAACAAAUAAUAUCCGUCAAUUCCAUUCGGGGUCAACGAGGCAUCAUAAUAGUUUCAAAAUUUAGGCUCAUAUAUCAUAUGAGUCACAAUUUAUAGUAUAGAAUUGCACUCAAGAUAAUAAAAUCAUUAAGGCAUCCCAACACUUGCAACAAAUGGAACAAAUAAUAUCCGUCAAUUCCUUUCGGGUCAUCGAGACAUCAUAAUAGUUUCAAAAUUUAGGUUCAUAUAUCAUAUAUGAGUGACAAUUCGUAGUAUAGAAUGGCACUCAAGAUCAUAAAAUCAAUGAGGCAUCCCAACACUAGAAACAUAUGGGACAAAAAAUAUCCGCAAUUCCUUUCGGGUCAUCGAGGCAUCAUAAUAGUUACAAAAUUUAGGCUCAUAUAUCAUAUAUGAGUGACAAUUCGUAGUAUAGAAUGGCACUCAAGAUCAUAAGAUCAGAGGCAUACCAACACUUGCAACAUAUGGGACAAAUAAUAUCCAUCAAUUCCUUUCGGGUCAUCGAAGCAUCAUAAUAAUUUCAAAAUUUAGGCUCAUAUAUCAUAUAUGAGUCAAUUCAUAUAAUAGUCAAUUCAUAUAAUACAAUUGCACUCAAGAUCAUAAAAUCAUUAAGGCAUCCCAACACUUGCAACAUAUGGAACAAAUAAUAUCCGUCAAUUCCUUUCGGGUCAUCGAGGCAUCAUAAUAGUUUCAAAAUUUAGGCUUAUAUAUCAUAUAUGAGUGACAAUUCAUAGUAUAGAAUUGCACUCAAGAUCAUAAAAUCAAUGAGGCAUCCCAAACAUAUGGGACAAAUAAUAUCCGCAAUUGAUUUCGGGUCAUCGAGGGAUCAUAAUAGUUUUAAAAUUUAGGUUCAUAUAUCAUAUGAGUGACAAUUCGUAGUAUAGAAUUGCACUCAAGAUCAUAAGAUCAUUGAGGCAUACCAACACUUGCAACAUAUGGGACAAUAAUAUCCGUCAAUUCCUUUCGGGUUAUCGAGGCAUCAUAAUAGUAUCAAAAUUCAGGCACAUAUAUCAUAUAUAUGAGUGACAAUUCGUAGAAUAAAAUUGCACUCAAGAUCAUAAAAUCAUUGAGGCAUCCCAACACUUGCAACAUAUGGGACGAAUAAUAUCCGUCAAUUCCUUUCGGGUCAUCGAGGCAUCAUAAUAGUUUUAAAAUUUAGGCUCAUAUAUCAUAUAUGAGUCACAAUUCAUAGUAUAGAAUUGCACUCAAGAUCAUAAAAUCAUUAAGGCAUCCCAACACUUGCAACAUAUGGAACGAAUAAUAUCAGAUUCCUUUCGGGUCAUCGAGGCAUCAUAAUAGUUUCAAAAUUUAGGUUCAUAUAUCAUAUAUGAGUGACAAUUCAUAGUAUAGAAUUGCACUCAAGAUCAUAAAAUCAUUGAGGCUUACCAACACUUGCAACAUAUGGGACAAAUAAUAUCCGUCAAUUCCUUUCGGGUUAUCGAGGCAUCAUAAUAGUUUCAAAAUUAGGCUCAUAUAUUAUAUAUGAGUGACAAUUCGUAGAAUAAAAUUGCACUCAAGAUCAUAAAAUCAUUGAGGCAUCCCAACACUUGCAACAUAUGGGACAAAUAAUAUCCGUCAAUUCCUUUCGGGUUAUCGAGGCAUCAUAAUAGUUUCAAAAUUUAGGCUCAUAUAUCAUAUAUGAGUAACAAUUCAUAGUAUAGAAUUGCACUCAAGAUCAUAAAAUCAUUGAGGCAUCCCAACACUUGCCAACAUAUGGGACAAAUAAUAUCCGUCAAUUCCUUUCGGGUCAUCGAGGCAUCAUAAUAGUUUUAAAAUUUAGGCUCAUAUAUCAUAUAUGAGUGACAAUUCAUAGUAUAGAACUGCAUUCAAGAUCAUAAAAAUAUUGAGGCAUCCCAACACUUGCCAACAUAUGAGACAAAUAAUAUC